GAGUUUGAUCGUGGCUCAGGAUGAACGCUGGCGGCGUGCCUAAUACAUGCAAGUCGAGCGAACAGACGAGGAGCUUGCUCCUCUGACGUUAGCGGCGGACGGGUGAGUAACACGUGGAUAACCUACCUAUAAGACUGGGAUAACUUCGGGAAACCGGAGCUAAUACCGAAUAAUAUAUUGAACCGCAUGGUUCAAUAGUGAAAAACGGUUUUGCUGUCACUUAUAGAUGGAUCCGCGCCGCAUUAGCUAGUUGGUAGGGUAACGGCUUACCAAGGCGACGAUGCGUAGCCGACCUGAGAGGGUGAUCGGCCACACUGGAACUGAGACACGGUCCAGACUCCUACGGGAGGCAGCAGUAGGGAAUCUUCCGCAAUGGGCGAAAGCCUGACGGAGCAACGCCGCGUGAGUGAUGAAGGUCUUCGGAUCGUAAAACUCUGUUAUUAGGGAAGACAAAUGUGUAAGUAACUAUGCACGUCUUGACGGUACCUAAUCAGAAAGCCACGGCUAACUACGUGCCAGCACG
rnacentral:rRNA from 1 species